UCUCCGUCCCUGAGACCCUAACUUGUGACGUUAUGUUCUUCAUGUCCACGGGUUAGGCUCUCGGGAGCUGAG
rnacentral:pre_miRNA from 1 species